rnacentral:rRNA from 1 species
CAAUAGCAUAUAUUAACGUUGUUGCAGUUGAAAAGCUCGUAGUUGAACUUUUGGUAGGAGCGACCUGGCCUUGGGCGCAUGCCCUUGUUUGCCGUGUGUCGUAUCUGGCCAUCCUUUUCUUCGUUUUUCGGAGGAAUCUUUUACUGUGAGUAAACUGGAGUGCUCAAAACAAGACGUUUGUUUGGUACAUUAAAGCAUGGAAUAAUAAGAUAGGACCUGGUUACUAUUUUGUUGGUUUGCAUAGCUAGGUAAUGAUUAACAGGGACAGUUGGGGGUAUUCGUAUUUAAUUGUCAGAGGUGAAAUUCUUGGAUUUAUGAAAGACGAACGACUGCGAAAGCAUUUACCAAGGAUGUUUNCAUUAA